rnacentral:antisense_RNA from 1 species
AGAAGGUCUUCCGGAAUGCCGUUUCGGGGGCCUUUUUCUUUUGC